UGCACUUCGGGUAUAAGCCUGGGAAACUGGGUCUAAUACCGGAUAGGACCAUGGACUUCACGGUUUGUGGUGGAAAGCUUUGCGGUGUGGGAUGGGCCCGCGGCCUAUCAGCUUGUUGGUGGGGUAAUGGCCUACCAAGGCGACGACGGGUAGCCGGCCUGAGAGGGUGUCCGGCCACACUGGGACUGAGAUACGGCCCAGACUCCUACGGGAGGCAGCAGUGGGGAAUAUUGCACAAUGGGCGCAAGCCUGAUGCAGCGACGCCGCGUGAGGGAUGACGGCCUUCGGGUUGUAAACCUCUUUCAAUAGGGACGAAGCGCAAGUGACGGUACCUAUAGAAGAAGCACCGGCCAACUACGUG
rnacentral:rRNA from 1 species